AGGAGCAACAGCCCCAGUGGCGGGGCCAGCUCUGGAAACCUGGAUUCAGCUCCGGCAGGAACUCCGGAGCUCUCUGUCUGCAGGUUCUGGAGGCUCCGGGGCGUG
rnacentral:pre_miRNA from 1 species